rnacentral:rRNA from 1 species
UAGUCCACGCCGUAAACGAUGGACACUAGAUGUUGGACUCUCUAAUGGGUUCAGUGUCGUAGCUAACGCGUUAAGUGUCCCGCCUGGGGAGUACGCUCGCAAGGGUGAAACUCAAAGGAAUUGACGGGGGCCCGCACAAGCGGUGGAGCAUGUGCUUUAAUUCGAUGCAACGCGAAGAACCUUACCUGGUCUUGACAUGGGAGUGAAAGUGUCUAGAGAUAGAUGCCUUUCCUUCGGGAACACCCUACACAGGUGCUGCAUGGUUGUCGUCAGCUCGUGUCGUGAGAUGUUGGGUUAAGUCCCGCAACGAGCGCAACCCUCGCCCUUAGUUGCCAGCGAGUAAUGUCGGGAACUCUAGGGGGACCGCCUGGGAUUAACCAGGAGGAAGGUGGGGAUGACGUCAAAUCCUCAUGGGCCCUUACGACCAGGGGCUAGGACACGUGCUACAAUGGCCGGUACAAUGGGGAUGCGAGACGGUGACGUUUAGCUAAUCCGAUAAAACCGGGU